rnacentral:rRNA from 1 species
GAAAACCUUACCUACGCUUGACAUGUCAGGAACCUCGAAGAGAGUUUUGAGGGUGCCCGAAAGGGAACCUGAACACAGGUGCUGCAUGGCUGUCGUCAGCUCGUGUCGUGAGAUGUUGGGUUAAGUCCCGCAACGAGCGCAACCCUUAUCAUUAGUUGCUACGCAAGGGCACUCUAAGUGAGACUGCCGGUGACAAACCGGAGGAAGUGGGGAUGACGUCAAGUCCUCAUGGCCCUUAUGCGUAGGGCUUCACACGUCAUACAAUGGUCGGUACAGAGGGUUGCCAACCCGCGAGGGGGAGCCAAUCCCACAAAGCCGAUCGUAGUCCGGAUUGCAGUCUGCAACUCGACUGCAUGAAGUCGGAAUCGCUAGUAAUCGCGGAUCAGCAUGUCGCGGUGAAUACGUUCCCGGGUCUU